rnacentral:rRNA from 1 species
GAUGAACGCUAGCGAUAGGCCUAACACAUGCAAGUCGAGGGGCAUCACAUGAAGUAGCAAUACGGAUGGUGGCGACCGGCGCACGGGUGAGUAACACGUAUGCAACCUGCCUUCAACAAGGGGAUAACCCGUUGAAAGACGGACUAAUACCCUAUAACACAGGGGUCCCGCAUGGGAAUAUUUGUUAAAGGACAACCGGUUGAAGAUGGGCAUGCGUUCCAUUAGCUAGUUGGCGGGGUAACGGCCCACCAAGGCAACGAUGGAUAGGGGAACUGAGAGGUUUAUCCCCCACACUGGUACUGAGACACGGACCAGACUCCUACGGGAGGCAGCAGUGAGGAAUAUUGGUCAAUGGACGCAAGUCUGAACCAGCCACGUCGCGUGAAGGAAGACGGCCCUACGGGUUGUAAACUUCUUUUAACGGGAAUAAAGUGCCCCACGCGUGGGGUUUUGCAUGUACCGUAUGAAUAAGGAUCGGCUAACUCCGUGCCAGCAGCCGCGGUAAGUACGCAGCGA